rnacentral:lncRNA from 1 species
AUGGCCCAUCCUUUCUCUGCCCAGACAGCCUACUUCCCCAUCUGCAGUCCUUUGACUUCUCAGUUCAACACCCUGGCCCUGGGGAGCGAGCCUCAAGACUCCACUCCCAGGAGAACCCUCCAGGGGGCGCUCUCAUCCCCAGAGUCAAAGCUGGGCAGCGAGACUGGGAAAAAUGACUGGAAUAGAGGAACUAGUUCUGUGACCUGGACAAAAAGACAAGAAAGCAGGAGCCGUUCCAGAUGUUUCUGCUCCCUCCCGCCCCCGGCGUGGUCUGAGUGAACCCAGGGACAGGGACAGGAAGAGAUGCUCCCCAGGGACUCUGGUCCUGGCUGAGUCACCUGGCCUGGAUGUCCAGUUCACGCUACCUCUCUGUUACUCACUGACCAAGAAUAUGACUUAAUUCCCCGUGGGCGAUACCACCAGGCAUAUAAAGAAAUGGGUGAUGACCGUGACACAGAAGCUAAAAGCCUCAAUUACCCUUCGCAACAGGAACCGGGGACAUUUUUAUGAAGAGAGAAAUUUUUGCCUCAUAAAUCGCACUUGUGAGAAAUCCAGCCCACGCUGCUGGUGACCUUGUCACAUCUUCCACAGCCAGAGGCAGCCCCACAGAUGGCGGGGAUCACCUCAGCCUCACCCCUGCCCAUUAAGCCCAAGUAUGUGUUCUAGAGAGUGUAUGGGGGUCAGCCAGGGCUAGGAUGAGGCCAGGAUAGGCAGCCGGAAUGCAAGUAUAUUCCCAGCUCUCAACCUGGCUCCCUCUGUUGGUCUCAACUGCAGGGCAUGGGCAUAAGAAGAGGGUCUUUAAAAAGUCUUCUUGACGGGGUCCCACCCCCAGAGAUUCUGAUGUAACUGGUCCAGGGUGGGGCCUGGGCACUGGGAGCUUUAAAAGCCGCCCAGGUGAUUCUGAUGUACAGCCAAGUUGAGAGCUUACCCCUACCCUGCCCUGCCAGUCGAUGAAUCAACAGCAAGCUUUUAGCAAGUGCAAGCUGGUGGGAGGGGGGAGACCAGAAACAGGACACAGUUUCUGCCCAGGCUCAUUUACAUGAAGCCAUAAUGCGGACUCCCCACACCCCACGGGCAACAGAGACCCUGUGAAGAGGCCUGGGUGCAAGCACCUGGGGGAGCAGCUGCACCUGAUCUGAGCCCAGAAGCUUAGGCUGUCUAAAGGCUCCCACCCAUGCAC